AGUUGGCUUCUUUGUGAAGAAGAAAGAGUCAGUGCUCUGAGAAGCUGCCCAAGAGAAAUACCAAGAGGCUUUGUGGCCGAGACCCCGCACGACCCAUCAGGCCGGCUGGUCUCCCUGAAGCCCAGAAGAGAGUCGGCGCCGUGGGGUGGGGGCUGCCGCAGAGUAAGUGUGCUGGAUCCAGUGUUCCUGGCUCGGCGGAGGGUUUCUCAGGCCAGUCAGCAGUCGGUGGAAACAGAUCACUCUAGAGACAAGGAAGUUGGCCACGGC